AAGCUGGAAGCCCUACCUCUCUCUUUCGCGGGCAUCUCCACGUUCAAGGUCUCUCUCUGUAGAAAUAUACAGUGCUCUGGUUGUUAAUGAGUAGUGCUUGAUGGACAAGGCCCUUACACGGAUUUUUGAUGUCAAGACGUUGCUGCAAGAAUCAGCAUAAUGCAACCUAGUGAUGCACUAUUUUGGCCAUUUUUUUAUCCUAAAUUCUAAUUGUGAAUUACUUUAUUCUGAUCAUGAGAGUUGUGUUCAUGGUUCUUAAGAUGUAUUGAGUAUUUCACACAAAUUUAGCAUCAAGGUUCGACUCAAAAUGAGAUCAAAUGAUGCUUGAUUUACUGCUGCUAGAAUAACUGCAGUUACAAGAGAAAAUGCUACUGAGUUUGAAUUCUUU